CAGAGUCACUGGAACUUUAAUCUAGGUCUUCUAACUCCAGAGUCAAUCCUUUUCUUAAUAUCCCAUAGGAGCAAGUACAGGAGCUUGUUCCAAAAGUAAAGUUAAUUUUUAGUAAAGAACAAAGUAAGCAAAUAUUCAUGAAUUAAAGACAUUCCAAACUUCAGAUCCAAUUCUCUUAGCCACUUAAAAAAUAAAAGACUUAAUCAAUCAUAAAGAAUUCCACUUAAACUUAUUAUACAAAGUGAUUAAUAAGAAUGACAUUUUCCUACCAACUCCAAAUGAUAAAAUCAAUUUGGGAACUUUACCAAUAUUUUGAACUUGAAACACUAAUCUUAAGAGAAAGCCUAUAUAUCAAAAAUUAUCAUAGUAUGACACAACUAUAACAGAACCUUACUUUUCAAUUUCUAUUAAACUGAUUUUUCUUUUAAAGCAGAUUCAGAAAGCCAAAAGAAAAAAAAAAAAAAAAAACCCUCUUCACAUCCAUUGAACUCCUUGCAUUUUUUUUAAGAGGUUUCAUUUUUCAAGCCAAAGCCCAGAAGACAAAACAAGCUCAUUUAAUUCACACCUCAGAAUUAAUUGUAAUUGCUCUGCUCAAACCAAUGUCUAAGUGCCUGUAUUAAGGGCUUCCCACUGAUCAGAAAGUGUUAACUCAUCAAUUUACACAACUUUCUUUUAUACUUUUAGGCUACUUCUCAUUUUGAUCUUAGUUAGGGUUGCCUAUAAAAUAGAAGAUGCCCAGUCAUUUUAAAUUUCAGAUAAAUCAAAAAUAAUCAUUAGAUAUAUCCUAUGCAAUAAUUAAGAUAUGCUUGUACUAAAAAUUUCAUUGUUUAUCUGAAAUUCAAAUUUAACAGGAUAUCCUGUAUUUUUAUUUGCUAAAUCUGGCAACACUACUCUCGAUAAAUUAAUGCCAUAGAAUAGAGAUUGCCCAACUUCUUAACCCAAAAUAAGCUUUGAGAUUAUCAAAGAGGCAAUUGUAAAAGUAUCAGGGAAAAAAAGGAAAAUUUAUAUGUAAUCUUAAAGUGGAAAGACCUUUCUAAGAAAGAUGCGAAGCCCAGAAAACAAAAAUUUUGAUAAAUCUAACUACAUAUAGCAUUUAAAAAUGUCUUUCUUGCAUGAGAAUACAAUAAAUAAAGUUAAAAAUUUUUUUUCUUUUCUUCUUUUGCUUUUUAGAGUCACACCCACAGCAUAUGGAAAUUCCCAGGCUAGGGGUCGAAUAGGAGCUGCUCAGCUGCAGCAAUGCCAGAUCCAAGCUGCAUCUGUGACCUACACCACAGCUCGUGGAACGCCACAUCCUUAACCCACUGAGUGAGGCCAGGGACCAAACCCACAUCCUCAUGGGUACUAGUUGGGUUCGUUACUGCUGAGCCACAAUGGGAACUCUCCAAGAAACAAUUUUCAAAAAAAUCUUCUUCAAAACAUCUGACUCACAGUGAACUGUUAUUUAAUAUGUAAAGAUCUCUUACAAAUCAAUAAGAAAAGAGCAAAAGCAUGAAUAGAAAAAUGAGUAAAGGCAUAAGUAAAUAGUUCACUGAAAAACAACUACACAUGGCUAAUAAACACAGAAAAUAUGUGUAACCUUAUUAAUAAUUAAAGCAACAUAAAUGACAUAAAUGAAAACAAUAGUGAAACAUUUCCCUCCAUCAGAUAAAAGGUUCAAAACCUAACUAAUGCCUAGUGUUGGUAUGGUUGGAGAAAUGAACGUUUCAUACCUUGUAGAUGAGAUUAUAAAUUGCUGCAACCUCUUUGGAAAGCAUAAUUUUGCAAUAUUUAUGAAUAUGAAAAUGUAUUUAUCCUUGACUCAAAAAUUCUCAUUUUAGAAAUUUGGGGUUUUUUUGUUUGUUUUUUGUCUUUGUGGUUUUUUUUGUCUUUUUGCCAUUUCUUGGGCCACUCCCGCGGCAUAUGGAGGUUCCCAGGCUAGGGGUCCAAUCGGAGCUGUAGCCGCCGGCCUACGCCACAGCCACAGCAACACAGGAUCCGAGCCGCAUCUGCGACCUACACCACAGCUCACGGCAACGCCAGAUCCUUAACCCACUGAGCAAGGCCAGGGAUCAAACCCGCAACCUGAUGGUUCCUAGUCGGAUUCGUUAACCACUGAGCCACGAUGCGAACUCCUCAUUUUAGAAAUUUCAAAAAAAUUUUUAUUAGAGUAUAGUAUAGUUGAUUUACAGUGUUAUGUCAGUUUCUGCUGUACAGCAUAGUGACCUAGUCAUACAUAUAUAUAUAUAUAUAUACAUUCUUUUUCUCAUACUAUCAUUUUUAGAAAUUUAUUUUAUGAAAACACUUGUACAAGUAUGCAAAGAUAUACAUGUAAAAGUUUAUUGCAGGGUUAUUUGUGAAAAAUUGGACCAAACUAAAUGCCCACUAUAAGAGGAUCAGAUAAAUAAAUUUGUGUCUACUCAUAUAUUGAAAUGACAUUUAGUUGACUAAAAAUAUAAUGAUUUUAAAAGUUUAAUUUAUUGAGAGUAGAGAAAAAGGACCACAAUAGAGUAUAUGGUGUUCUCCUGUUCUUGAUUUUAAAAAGCUACAUAUACAUACAUAGGUUUGUAUGUGUAGAAAUAGACUGGCUUUCAUUGUUAUACCCUUUUGUAUUCUUGAAACUUUAGUAUGAAGUGCACGUAUUACUUUUUCAAUAAAAAAUCUAAUCUAUAAAAGAUACAUAUUUGGGGUCUUUUUAAAAGUUACUUAUGUCAUCUCUCAUUUCUUCUCUUGUUCUUAUCUCAGGGUCUAUUUGCCAGUUAUCACUGUUGUGCCAGUAGGUCCCUGCAGGAAGCUGAUGAUAAUCAGUGGCUUGCUCCCUUUCAUAACACAGUCCAGCAAUCAACAAUUCAAUUUCCUUGUACCAGAAAGGCCCUCGGUUGUUAGUAUCAAGGAAUGUAGCUUCUCCCAAAUCCCAAAAUUUCAGGGGGCAGAAUGUAUUCCUCAAACUAUUAAGUUUAGGACAUACUGUAUUUCUUGGAUGGUAGCAAUCUAUUACACCCACCAUUCUUGGGUUCUUUAUUGACUCCCCAGCAGAUGCCACUCUCCUCAGAACCUUUAUCCAUGUUGUUAUCCCUUCCUGGAAUGCCCUACCUUGCCUAGCUGGUGCUACAAUCUUUACCCAUCCCUCCAGAUUCAAGUCCUACUUUUCUUCCAGGUUGAUUCUUAUGAUUAUUUUAACCCUACUCAGAACACUGUUCUUUUAUUUCUCUGACUUUGUAUCUUACUUUCAUAAAAAGAUAAUGAUAUUCCAAAUAAUUCGUUCAUAAAACAUUUUUCUUAAGUGCAAGCAACAUGUAAGAACUAACUACAUGGUGGGUCAAACAGAACAGGGUUCAAAAUGUUUAUAGAACUUGAGGCAAAUUAAUUUUUCUGUCUCUCAAUGUCUCUAUUUUUAAUCUGUGGCUAAUAGAUUAUAGUGGUAUCAUUGGCAUUAAAUGUAAAGUGACUUGCACCAUGCCUAGUACAUCAUAGAUGGUCAAUUGAUCUUAGCCUGGGCCUGACUCCUUCUCUGACCUCUGACUCAAUUCCUUUAGUACCACUGAGAAAAGAUCAAGAAACUUGAUGCAGACUGCAGAACAAAUUUUAAAUAAAUAUUUUGGCUUUCUUUACUUUCCAUACAUAUAAAUGGAAAAUAUAUAUAUAGGUUUUCCCUAUUUAAUCUCCCUUUAUUAUCUCAAGGCCUAUUUGUUUUCUGAAUCCACUACUCAUCAUCUGUGUGAUCUUGGGCUAGUUAUUUAAUUUUUUAGAGCCUCAGAUUUUCUGUCCUGAAACAGGGUUGAUAAUGAUGUCCUUACAGAGUUGUUGGGAAGUUUAAAUGAGAUUAUGUAUGUGAAUGUGUAAAGUAGUCAAGUGCUACAACAAUUUGAAGUGUUCUUAUUAAAUGUUCAUGUAGAGUGCGAUUUUAAGGUGAAUAAAAAGCCUUUGGAGUCUCAGUGAUUUAUUUUGCAGUUCAGAUUGAUGUGUCAUUUUUAGUUGGUUCACAAGCCAUAUUUCCAGCUGUCAUCCAUCAACACUUUGGCCACAGCCUGUUCUUGGCUUUCUGUCUAUAUGGAAUUAGUUAUCCUUCCUAGCACAGCCUAGUUUUCUCCAGACAAAAUCCCUUCUUCCCAAAGACAGAGAUCCUCUCACUGAGUAUUUUCAGCUGACAAACCCCUUCUUUUGAACCUGCCUCAUUCUUUCUUCUUUAUUUUUCCAUCUUAGAGAUGUUGAAAGAUUUUUAAAAAUUCAUUAUUCAUUCAUCAACUCAGUCCACAAAUAUGUACUGGGCACCUACUCUGUCUCAGAUCUAGUGUCUAAAUUUUGGGGCUAUAGAAGUAAAUGAGGCACAUUCCCAGCCCUCAAUGAUUUCACAGUUGAAUAGGGGAGACAUUUGUAAACAAAUGCUUACAAUUCAUUUUUUGUGAUAAGUAACAGUAAAACUUUUUGCCAGCUACCAAGAUGGCAGUUUCAGGAAAAACUUCCUGGAGGAUGUGUCUUUAAGUUUUUAAGGAUGAAUAAUAUUUUGAUAGACAGGUAAAAAAAGGGAAAGAUAUUUCGUGCAGAGGAUACAGCGCAUGAAAAGAUAUAAACUUAUGAAGCAGCACUGCUUAUUUAGAGAAUAAAUGACUGUGUUAUAAAGAGUGUUAGGAGAUGAAUCCUAGGCCAGAUCAUGGAAGUCCCUACAGCCAUGCAAAGGGGUUUGAGAGAGGUGAGCACAGAGUGUAGUUUCAAAUAUAAGAGAUGCCUAAUCAGUCUACAGUAGUGGUUGUCAACCCCCACUAUGCAUCAGAAUAAUCAUGUGGGGAUCUUCAAAAAUAUCGAUAUCCAAGCCCUACCCAUUGAACCCUUACUUAACUGAUCUACUUUGAAACUCAGAUUUCGACAUUUUUAUUGUGCUUUGGUGUUUUUAAGUUGCCUCCAGAGUUGACAGAGUGAGUGUAGAGUUUCUCAGAGAUGAUUUUGAUGAUAAUUUGGAGGAUACAUUGAGGACCCAGGAAGGCCAAGGCCAGAAGUGAGCAGACCACUGAGGAGCAGAGCUAUUGCUAUAAUAUGGGUGAAAUAAAACUUAGAAAUAUAGUGAUAUGUUUUAAUAAAGAUAAACUGUCACCUUUCCUAAGCAAAUUAUUAGCUGCAUAAAAACUGGGACCAUGUUUCCUGAUUUUUCAGUGUUGGACAUCUAACUGCAAUAAGUACUCAAUAUAUAUAUAUAUACAUACAUACAUGCAAAUAUACACAUAUGUUUCUGUCUUAGUUCAGGAUGCUAUCACUAGAUACCAUAAACUGGGUGGUUUAAACAACAGAAAUUUAUCACUCACAAUUAAUAGGUUGGGACGUUCAAGAUGAGCUAGUAUGUUCAGGUUCCAGUGAGAGCCUUGUUUUCUGGUUUGUAGAUGGCCACCUUCCCAUUGUAUACUCACAUGAUGGAGAGCAGAUGGAAAGAGAACAAGCUUUCCUGUCUCUUCUCAUAAGGUCCUAUUCUCAUCCACAAGAACUCCAUCAUCAUGACCUAAUCACAUCCUAAAGGCUCCACCUUCUAAUACCAUCACAUUGGGGGUUGGGAUAUCAACGUAUAAAUUUUAGAAGAUACAUAUACAGAGAGAGAGAGAGAGCACAAGAGAGAGGAUAUAUAUAUAGAGAGAAUACAUAUAGAUAUAUCUAGAUAUCUGGAUAUAUAUCUGAUAUAUAUAGAGAAUAGAUGGAGAAAGAAUAUAUGUAUAUAUAUAUAUAUAGAGAGAAUAAGCAAAUGUGGCAAAAUGUUAGCAAAGCCACUGAAUUGUAUACAUUGAAAUGGUUAAAAUGGUAAAUUUUAAGUUAUCUGUAUUUUCCCAUGGUAAAAAAUUGGAAAAAAAUACAGAUUAUGUGGAUGAAGGCAUAGACAAGUGAUCAAAUAAGCAGAUGACUCAAAGCUUGGUAUAAGAGGAGAGGAAUACAUGGUGGGGGAGCUGAAAAUGUGGAUAAUAGAAUCAAGAUUGUAACAAUUAUCAAAAUAACGGAAUGGUAAAUAGAAAUGAAUAAUUUCAUAGUUCUUCAAGAUUCAGAACAUCAACUAUACAUAUACAGGAUGAUUUGUUAUGGCAGUAAUUGAUAUAAAAAUGCCCUGGGCUUUUACACUUGAUCGCAGGCUGAUGUGAGGCAAGGAUGUGACACAGUUGCUAAAUAAAAUCAUAUAAGUUGAGUUAUCAAUAAUAGAAUAUGAAUAUUUCAGAGAACAGAGGUUUGAGUCUAACAAUUCCUUACACAAGUCAAGCCAUACAUGGAGCAUUGUGUUAACUGAAAAAGAGAAACGUAUCUACAAGAGAGCCACCAAGAUGGGGAAAUCUUCAGAAGCCAUUUCAUCUGAGAUAUUGGUAAAUGUGUUAUAUUUAAUCAUGAUCUGCUUGAGAAGGGCUGCCCAGAAAAGAUGAAGCAAAUGGGUAGAUGAAUAAUAUGUGUUGGUUACCCACAAACCAAGAACAAAAAGUUAGAGGUUGAAUAAGCCAUGGCGUGCUCAAAACUAGACUCAAAGGGUUAACAAUGCAAAGUUCCCAAGAGCCUGGGCAGCAGCUGUGAGGCAGGCCCACUGCAGCUGCUGCUCAAGGUUUGACCCCACAGCAUUCCCUUUAUUGCUUCUGCUGCUGUCUGCCAAAGCCAGGGUAGGGCCCUGAGAAUCUAGAGAUAAAAAUACCUAAAAAGAACACUUAAAAGAGAACUCCCUUAAAAAUCGAUAGGGCUGGGUGGCAGUUAUUACUAUGCCCAGUUUACAGACGAAGAAACUAAGGCUCUGAAAGCUUAGAUAAGUGGUUGAAAGUCACAUAGAUAAGGAAUGGCAGAAAUGGAAUUCAAACCCUGGUUAUCAUUCAUUUAUGAGUUUAUGUAAUGUUUAUUGAGAUCUACUUAUAUCCAGCACUGGGGCUGCAAAGGUGACCAAUACAUAAUCCUUGCCCUUAGGAUACUUUUAAAUACCUUAAAACAGUGCACUUAGGAUUAAAAUAUAGAUUUCACAUUGCAUUAUAUAUUCGUGUGCUGGAGAACCGGAGCUUACGUGGAGCUGGCUGGGGUAUAAGGUGCAUGGAGGGAAGGAUGGAAAGUAUAUCUGGACGAUUAAUUUGGGCCCAGAUUGUGUUGGCCUGAAAAUGCUAUGCCAAAUUGGGUGGACCUUAUACUGUAUACAGUGAAGAAUUAUAAAGAUUUCCAAAGCAGGAGUUCCCAUUGUGGCACAGCGGAGGUGAAUCCCACUAGAAACCAUGGGGUUGUGGGUUCGAUCCCUGGCCUCGCUCAGUGGGUUGAGGAUCCGGCGUUGCCCUGAGCUGUGGUGUAGGUCUCAGGUGCAGCUCGGAUUGAGGAUCCAGCGUUGCUGUGGCUGCGGCAUAGGCUGACGGCAACAGCUCCAAUUAGACCCCUAGCCUCGGAACCUCCAUAUGCCACGAGUGCGACCCUAAAAAGACAAAAAGGCAAAAAAAAUAAAAAAAUAAAAAAAA
rnacentral:lncRNA from 1 species